UCCGCUCCUCGCUCGCGCACCGCUCGCUCGUUCUCCGUCGCUGCAGCACUCACUCGCUCGCCCCUUCCCUCGUCGCCUCUCCCUCUCCUCUCCGUGCCCGGCCACUCCCUUUCCUCGUCGCCGGCCUCUUCCACCGCCCCUUUCUCCCCACCAUCCCGCCUUCACUCACACACCCCGUAGGUUAAAAAAAUUGAUUCUUUUUGCGUCGGCGACGAGCUUCUCUGCGACGGAGGCGUGGAUGUGUAGGGGCGCCAAAGCUGGAUAUGGGCUACGAGGGCGUGGACGUGGAGCGGCGCGGAGCGGUGCCGGAGCAGUGGAGCAGCGGAGCGGCGCCGGAGCCUCCAAGCGGAGCGGCGCGGGAGGCCGAGGCGGGUAGGCGCCACCGGUGGCGGGACAAGCAGCUGGAGCAGGAGGGCGACGCUGAGCUCGGUUGGGGCCUCCUCGGCGACGCCUACGACCGCUGCAGCGAGAUCUGCGCACUCAGUCUCUGAGUCCCUGCUGCGGCGAGUUCUACGUACGCCAAGACCUUCUACGGUGGAGUGAAGUUGAGGUCUGGGAGAUCUAUUUUCUCCUGAAGAUAUAAAUAUGUAAGAUGAAGUACAAGUAGAAGUAGAAGAAGAAGAAGAAGAGGAAGAAGAGGAAGAAGAAGAGGAGGAGGAGGAGGAGGAGGAGGAGAAGCAAAGCACCUAACUGAAUUUGCUCUAAUCACUGACCAUAUAACUGAAUUUGCAAAGCACCUAACUGAAUUUGCUGCUUUAAAAAUUCAGUUAACUGAGCAUAGGAGCAGGAGCAGGAGUAGAAGAAGCAAAGCACCUAACUGAAUUUGCUCUAAACAGUUCACUGACCAUAUAACUGAAUUUGCAAAGCACCUAAUUGAAUUUGCUGCUUUAAAAUUCAGUUAACUGACCAUAUUCAAAUUAAAUGAAAAGCAAGUUAACUGGCCAUAUUCAAAGCAACUAACUGAAUUUGCAAAGCACCUAACUGAAUUUGCUGCUUGUUCCUGUUCACAAUGGUGAAAAUUUAUCCAAAUGCUUGUUACUGACCAUUUACUCUUGUCAAACUGUUUUGUCAAAAUGCUUGUUUCAGUGUAUUGACCAUUUAAUCUACUGACCAUUUUGCUGUGUAUAAAUAAUGUUUAGUUAAAACUGAAUUAAUCUUUUCAAUACAACUAAAUGAUCUGAAUACAGUUAUGUGGUCUGGUUACUCUUUAUCAGGUCUUCAUAUGGAGUAGUUGUUUGCUUUCUCAAGAUAUAAACCCUUCAGACUUUGUUUAUCAUGAUGAUGGUAUGGCUUCAUACAUCGACAGAUCAAUCGGAGCACGGCAACAUAUACAAUGUCCAGACACAAACAAUAUUCCAUCAUGAUGCUGUGAUGGGUUUCCCUGAUGCUGCUAUGAUUCCACCAGUGCACGGGCGAGGAGUACCUGCCUGGAGUACAGCAUGGCGGGGGAGCAGUGAGGAACAGGCUGGGCAGCGCGGCGGCCAAGAUGUGGUUGAGAGGACCAGGCCGGUGCGGCGAGGACCAAAUUGGGAGCGCAGAGGCGGCGGCCAGGCUGGGGCGGAGGCGACCAAAUUGGGAGCGGAGGCGACCAAAUUGGGAGCGGCGGCGACCAAACUGGGCGAGGACGAGCACCUGGACAGCGGGGAAGAGCCUGGCGGAGGGGCCUGACGGGGAAGAGCUUGCUGGAGGAGGAGGAGCCUGGCGGAGGAAGACGCCGGAGGAGGAGCCUGGCGGAGGGAGACGACGGGGAAGACGACGACUCGUUUUCAAAUUAGGGGUAUUUUGGUAUUUUUGUUCGUUUUCACCUGGUCGGAAGUUUCUCCCAGCGACAAAUAAAACGGUACAGAGGGAGUAGUACAUGUUUCUAUUCUGCAA